UUUGCAUGUUUCGAGCUUCCACACGCGCCGCCGCGAACAAGUAACCAAAAGGCGGAAGAUUUCUCGGCGCGUAAUCAGAACCCCGUCGGCGAUCGAGGAAGAGAGACCAGGAAAAUCUCAGAGGAAUCCGGAAAAAUGUGGAGCUAUAUAUGGAGGAAAUAUGCUGAUUACAAGUAUAAUAAGUGGGAGAGGACUCAUCUCUGGGACAUGAUCGAACCUUAUCGCCGACCCAAGACCUUCACUACUCUCGUCACUCUUUACGUCGCCGCUUUUUACACCGGCGUUAUCGGCGCCGCCAUUACUGAGGAGCUCUACAAGGAGAAAUAUUGGGAACAUCAUCCGGGUGAGACAGUGCCUUUGAUGAAGCCUAUAUUCUAUCGAGGACCUUGGAGGGUGUAUCGUGGUGAGGCUUUGGCUCCAGACAAACCGACCAACCAGUGAAUCUGAUAUGCGAGCUUAUCAAAGACUAUCAUCAGAGUAUUUCUUUGUCUUGAUGUGCUGCCUGCCUGAUUCACUGGUAUAUAGCAAACAAGUUGGUGUUCUAUAGAACGUUUUCUACGAUUUCACUGAUGUUUUCCAUGGCAUUUUGGUCGGGUUUUUGGCUUGUUCCCCCCAGUUAUUUUGGUUCACAACGUGUGUAAGGUAUAGGGACCAUGGAAGAUGAUGAAGAGGCAAUAAACAACCCUGCAGCUUCAUCACAUGUUUCUCGUCUGAGCUUCUUCUCUGAAAAUUUCGCUUUAUUUUGCUUCUGCAUCAGCUUCCAAUGGUACAAUACCAUCAAUGGCGACAUUGGCAUAAUGCAAGUAACUCUCUCU